UGUUCGGUGGCUUAGUUGGUUAGGCGCCGGACUAGCUAUACGGAGUAGUGGGUUCGAAUCCCACCAAAACAA
rnacentral:tRNA from 1 species